rnacentral:rRNA from 1 species
UACGUAGGGGGCUAGCGUUGUCCGGAUUUACUGGGCGUAAAGAGCGCGCAGGCGGUCGUUCAAGUCGAGUGUGAAAGCCCCCGGCUCAACUGGGGAGGGUCACUCGAUACUGAUCGACUCGAAGGCAGAAGAGGGAAGCGGAAUUCCCGGUGUAGUGGUGAAAUGCGUAGAUAUCGGGAGGAACACCAGUGGCGAAGGCGGCUUUCUGGUCUGCUCUUGACGCUGAGGCGCGAAAGCUAGGGUAGCAAACGGG